rnacentral:rRNA from 1 species
AGUGAACGCUGGCGGUAGGCCUAACACAUGCAAGUCGAACGGCAGCACAGUAAGAGCUUGCUCUUACGGGUGGCGAGUGGCGGACGGGUGAGGAAUACAUCGGAAUCUACUUUUUCGUGGGGGAUAACGUAGGGAAACUUACGCUAAUACCGCAUACGACCUACGGGUGAAAGCAGGGGAUCUUCGGACCUUGCCCGAUUGAAUGAGCCGAUGUCGGAUUAGCUAGUUGGCGGGGUAAAGGCCCACCAAGGCGACGAUCCGUAGCUGGUCUGAGAGGAUGAUCAGCCACACUGGAACUGAGACACGGUCCAGACUCCUACGGGAGGCAGCAGUGGGGAAUAUUGGACAAUGGGCGAAAGCCUGAUCCAGCCAUACCGCGUGGGUGAAGAAGGCCUUCGGGUUGUAAAGCCCUUUUGUUGGGAAAGAAAAGCAGCAGGUUAAUACCCCGCUGUUCUGACGGUACCCAAAGAAUAAGCACCGGCUAACUUCGUG